GACGAACGCUGGCGGCGUGCCUAAUACAUGCAAGUCGAACGCUUCUUUCCUCCCGAGUGCUUGCCCUCAAUUGGAAAGAGGAGUGGCGGACGGGUGAGUAACACGUGGGUAACCUACCCAUCAGAGGGGGAUAACACUUGGAAACAGGUGCUAAUACCGCAUAACAGUUUAUGCCGCAUGGCAUAAGAGUGAAAGGCGCUUUCGGGUGUCGCUGAUGGAUGGACCCGCGGUGCAUUAGCUAGUUGGUGAGGUAACGGCUCACCAAGGCCACGAUGCAUAGCCGACCCGAGAGGGUGAUCGGCCACACUGGGACUGAGACACGGCCCAGACUCCUACGGGAGGCAGCAGUAGGGAAUCUUCGGCAAUGGACGAAAGUCUGACCGAGCAACGCCGCGUGAGUGAAGAAGGUUUUCGGAUCGUAAAACUCUGUUGUUAGAGAAGAACAAGGACGUUAGUAACUGAACGUCCCCUGACGGUAUCUAACCAGAAAGCCACGGCUAACUACGUG
rnacentral:rRNA from 1 species